UACUCGUUAAGGCUGAGCUGUGAUGGGGAGAAGACAUUGUGUCUUCGAGUCGUUGAUUUCACACUGCCGAGAAAAGCCUCUAGAUAGAAAAUAGGUGCCCGUACCGCAAACCGACACAGGUAGUCAAGAUGAGAAUUCUAAGGUGAGCGAGCGAACUCUCGUUAAGGAACUCGGCAAAAUGACCCCGUAACUUCGGGAGAAGGGGUGCUCUUUAGGGUUAACGCCCAGAAGAGCCGCAGUGAAUAGGCCCAAGCGACUGUUUAUCAAAAACACAGGUCUCUGCUAAACCGUAAGGUGAUGUAUAGGGGCUGACGCCUGCCCGGUGCUGGAAGGUUAAGAGGAGUGGUUAGCUUCUGCGAAGCUACGAAUCGAAGCCCCAGUAAACGGCGGCCGUAACUAUAACGGUCCUAAGGUAGCGAAAUUCCUUGUCGGGUAAGUUCCGACCCGCACGAAAGGCGUAACGAUUUGGGCACUGUCUCAACGAGA
rnacentral:rRNA from 1 species